AGCGAACGCUGGCGGCAGGCUUAACGCAUGCAAGUCGAACGGGCGUAGCAAUACGUCAGUGGCAGACGGGUGAGUAACGCGUGGGAACGUACCUUUUGGUUCGGAACAACCCAGGGAAACUUGGGCUAAUACCGGAUAAGCCCUUACGGGGAAAGAUUUAUCGCCGAAAGAUCGGCCCGCGUCUGAUUAGCUAGUUGGUGAGGUAACGGCUCACCAAGGCGACGAUCAGUAGCUGGUCUGAGAGGAUGAUCAGCCACAUUGGGACUGAGACACGGCCCAAACUCCUACGGGAGGCAGCAGUGGGGAAUAUUGGACAAUGGGCGCAAGCCUGAUCCAGCCAUGCCGCGUGAGUGAUGAAGGCCCUAGGGUUGUAAAGCUCUUUUGUGCGGGAAGAUAAUGACGGUACCGCAAGAAUAAGCCCCGGCUAACUUCGUGCCAGCCGCCGCGGUAAC
rnacentral:rRNA from 1 species